GCCACUCAGUCCCAGGUAGUCAGGAGGCUGAGGUGGGAGGAUCACAUGAGCCAAGGACUUCUGGGCUAUAGUGCUCCGUGCCGAUCGGGUGUCUGCACUAAGUUCAGCAACAAUAUGGUGACCUCCUGGGAGUAGGAGACCACCAGGUUGCCUAACGAGGGGCAAACCAGCCCAAGUCAGAAACGAAACAGGUCAAAACUCCUGUGCUGAUCAGUAAGUAGUGUGAUUAUGUCUGUGAAUAGCCACUACACUCCAUCCUAAGCAACAUAGCAAGACCCUGUCUCU
rnacentral:SRP_RNA from 1 species